CGGGCGUCUUAACAUGCAAGUCGAACGAGAGCGACCGGUGCUUGCACUGGUCAAUCUAGUGGCGAACGGGUGAGUAACACGUGGGUAACCUACCCAUCAGAGGGGGAUAACAUCCGGAAACGGAUGCUAAAACCGCAUAGGUCUUCGAGCCGCAUGGCUUGAAGAGGAAAAGAGGCGCAAGCUUCUGCUGAUGGAUGGACCCGCGGUGCAUUAGCUAGUUGGUGAGGUAACGGCUCACCAAGGCCGUGAUGCAUAGCCGACCUGAGAGGGUGAUCGGCCACAUUGGGACUGAGACACGGCCCAAACUCCUACGGGAGGCAGCAGUAGGGAAUCUUCCGCAAUGGACGCAAGUCUGACGGAGCAACGCCGCGUGAGUGAAGAAGGUUUUCGGAUCGUAAAACUCUGUUGUUAGAGAAGAACAAGUGC
rnacentral:rRNA from 1 species